AGUGAACGCUGGCGGUAGGCCUAACACAUGCAAGUCGAACGGCAGCACAGUAAGAGCUUGCUCUUACGGGUGGCGAGUGGCGGACGGGUGAGGAAUACAUCGGAAUCUACUUUUUCGUGGGGGAUAACGUAGGGAAACUUACGCUAAUACCGCAUACGACCUACGGGUGAAAGCAGGGGAUCUUCGGACCUUGCGCGAUUGCAUGAGCCGAUGUCGGAUUAGCUAGUUGGCGGGGUAAAGGCCCACCAAGGCGACGAUCCGUAGCUGGUCUGAGAGGAUGAUCAGCCACACUGGAACUGAGACACGGUCCAGACUCCUACGGGAGGCAGCAGUGGGGAAUAUUGGACAAUGGGCGCAAGCCUGAUCCAGCCAUACCGCGUGGGUGAAGGAGGCCUUCGGGUUGUAAAGCCCUUUUGUUGGGAAAGAAAAGCAGCAGGUUAAUACCCCGCUGUUCUGACGGUACCAAAAGAAUAAGCACCGGCUAACUUCGUG
rnacentral:rRNA from 1 species